GACGAACGCUGGCGGCGUGCUUAACACAUGCAAGUCGAACGGAAAGGCCCUGCUUUUGUGGGGUGCUCGAGUGGCGAACGGGUGAGUAACACGUGAGUAACCUGCCCUUGACUUUGGGAUAACUUCAGGAAACUGGGGCUCUUAACGGAUAGGAGCUCCUGCUGCAUGGUGGGGGUUGGUAAGUUUCGGUGGUUGGGGCUGGACUCGCGGCUUAUCAGCUUGUUGGUGGGGUAGGGGCUUACCAAGGCUUUGACGGGUAGCCUACAUGAGAGGGUGACCGGCCACAUUGCGACUGAAAUAAGGCCCAGACUCCUAUGUGGGGCAGCGGUGGGGAAAAUUGCACAAUGGGCGGAAGCCUGAUGCAGCAGCGCUGCGUGCGGGAUGAAGGCAUUCGGGUUGUAAACCGUUUUCGCCUGAAACGAAGCCUUAGUGACGGUAAUGAGUAAGAAAGCACCGGCUAACUACGUG
rnacentral:rRNA from 1 species